GAUGAACGCUGGCGGCGUGCUUAACACAUGCAAGUCGAACGGAGAUAUGAGGCGAGCGGGAAGUGCUUGCACAGAACAAUCAUUUCAUAACUUAGUGGCGGACGGGUGAGUAACGCGUGGGUAACCUGCCUUAUACCGGGGGAUAACACUUAGAAAUAGGUGCUAAUACCGCAUAAGCGCACAGUAUCGCAUGAUACAGUGUGAAAAACUCCGGUGGUAUAAGAUGGACCCGCGUCUGAUUAGCUUGUUGGCGGGGUAACGGCCCACCAAGGCGACGAUCAGUAGCCGGCCUGAGAGGGUGAACGGCCACAUUGGGACUGAGACACGGCCCAAA
rnacentral:rRNA from 1 species